CUAAGGCCGAUGGCGACCGGCGCACGGGUGAGUAACACGUAUCCAACCUGCCGUCUACUCUUGGACAGCCUUCUGAAAGGAAGAUUAAUACAAGAUGGCAUCAUGAGUCCGCAUGUUCACAUGAUUAAAGGUAUUCCGGUAGACGAUGGGGAUGCGUUCCAUUAGAUAGUAGGCGGGGUAACGGCCCACCUAGUCUUCGAUGGAUAGGGGUUCUGAGAGGAAGGUCCCCCACAUUGGAACUGAGACACGGUCCAAACUCCUACGGGAGGCAGCAGUGAGGAAUAUUGGUCAAUGGGCGAGAGCCUGGACCAGCCAAGUAGCGUGAAGGAUGACUGCCCUAUGGGUUGUAAACUUCUUUCAUAAAGGAAUAAAGUCGGGUAUGGAUACCCGUUUGCAUGUACUUUAUGAAUAAGGAUCGGCUAACUCCGUGCCAGCAGCCGCGGUAAUACGGAGGAUCCGAGCAUUAUCCGGAUUUAUUGGGUUUAAAGGGAGCGUAGAUGGAUGUUUAAGUCAGUUGUGAAAGUUUGCGGCUCAACCGUAGAAUUGCAGUUGAUACUGGAUAUCUUGAGUGCAGUUGAGGCAGGCGGAAUUCGUGGUGUAGCGGUGAAAUGCUUAGAUAUCACGAAGAACUCCGAUUGCGAAGGCAGCCUGCUAAGCUGCAACUGACAU
rnacentral:rRNA from 1 species